rnacentral:rRNA from 1 species
AUUAUUUUUAGUAACGGGGCGAGGAAGCGGCAACAGCUCAAAUUUGAAAUCUGGCCCUCUAGGGGGUCCGAGUUGUAAUUUGCAGAGGGUGCUUUGGCGUUGGCAGCGGUCUAAGUUCCUUGGAACAGGACGUCACAGAGGGUGAGAAUCCCGUACGUGGUCGCCAGCCUUCGCCGUGUAAAGCCCCUUCGACGAGUCGAGUUGUUUGGGAAUGCAGCUCUAAAUGGGAGGUAAAUUUCUUCUAAAGCUAAAUACUGGCCAGAGACCGAUAGCGCACAAGUAGAGUGAUCGAAAGAUGAAAAGCACUUUGGAAAGAGAGUCAAAAAGCACGUGAAAUUGUUGAAAGGGAAGCGCUUGCAGCCAGACUUGCCUGUAGUUGCUCAGCCGGGCUCCGGCCCGGUGCACUCUUCUGCGGGCAGGCCAGCAUCAGUUCGGGCGGCCGGAUAAAGACCUCUGUCACGUACCUCCCUUCGGGGAGGACUUAUAGGGGAGGUGAAAUGCGGCCAGUCCGGACUGAGGUCCGCGCAUCUGCUAGGAUGCUGGCGUAAUGGCUGUAAGCGGCCCGUCUUGAAACACGACCCCAAGGAGUAAACCCCCUUCUAACA